rnacentral:rRNA from 1 species
CCAAGGAGUCUAGCAUGUGCGCGAGUCGCAGAGUACCUCGAGACUCUCGGGCGCAAUGAAAGUUAGACGAGACGGCACGCAAGUGCCGUCGGGUGGGAUCCGCUCGCGUCGUCUCGCUAACGCGGAGACUGGCGCGUCGGCGCACCACCGGCCCGCCACGAACGGCGCCGGCUGCUGCUCGCGCGGCGGUCGGACGUCACGGCGGAGCGAGAGCGUACAUGCUGGUACCCGAAAGAUGGUGAGCUAUGCCCGGGUAGGACGAAGCCAGAGGAAACUCUGGUGGAGGUCCGCAACGUUUCUGACGUGCAAAUCGAUCGUAAAACCUGGGUAUAGGGGCGAAAGACUAAUCGAACCAUUUAGUAGCUGGUUCCCUUCGAAGUUUCCCUCAGGAUAGCUGGCCUUCGAACACACAACAGUUUUAUCCGAUAAAGCGACGACUGGAGGCGUCGGGGUCUACGCGACCUUAACCUACUCUCAAACUUUAAAUGGGUGAGAGACGCGGCUCGCCGAGUGCGGAGCCGCGUUGAUCUGUCGAGAAUGUGAGGGCCAAGUGGGCCGAUUUUGGUAAGCAGAACUGGCCGCUGUGGAU